rnacentral:miRNA from 1 species
GCUGCGCUUGGAUUUCGUUCCCU